AAUGGUUGGCUGACCUGAGCCCAACAUUUUCUUCCUUCAGAAAUCUCUGAUCAUUAGCGGUAGCCAUAAUCAUCAUCACUCUUCUGUCUUGGAUGCUGAAGCAAUCAGCUAAACAGGGCCCCUAUACACCGUCCCGAUGCACCAACAAUGAGAAUCUUAGCAGUGGGGUUGCCACAGUACUCCAGAGGUGAUCGGCACCCUGCUUAAUGCCAGCAAAGGGUCUGGCUAGUGAAGGAUCAAAUUCCAGAAUCCCAAGAUGACAGUGUUGCUUUCUACAACCCUUCUAGGACCACCUGUUUUCAGAGGAGUCCCCCGGCCCAGAGGCAGACUUGGAAAUAAGGAUUUGAGUUCAAAUAGUUUAUUUGGAGUGUGGUGAUCCCAAAGACCACCGGUGGGAGCGUGCGCGUGCAAGACAGGGAAGGGAGGGCGGUCCACAAAGGGUGCCCUCAAGCAGUUUCCUGCUGUAGGGCUCCCUUGGGAGACAAUCACUCCAGAGCAUUUGCAGCCUGCUUUGCCUUCAGAAAGCCCUCGGGGGAGCAGUGGCACCUGCUUGGGGAAGGAUGCUGCUGACAGGCAGAGAACUACGAGGGAAUAUGGGGGUAGCAUUGACAGUGCCUCUGCCGGCCACUCACGCGCCCAUCUGAUGAGUGUUUAUGGGAUACCUCCUGUUUUUGGAACCAGGGAUACAGCAGGGAAGAGGGAUGUGUGGUCUCCACUCUUACAGACUUGCCCUGCUACCUGGGGAGGCAGACAAUAAACUAGCUGACGAGACAA